GACGAGUCCGGCGAACGUUAUUCGGAAUUACUGGGCUUAAAGCGUGCGUAGGUGGUUCAGAGGGUUGGGAGUGAAAUCCCACGGCCUAACCGUGGAAUUGCUCUCAAAACCGCUGGACUUGAGGAGGUUAGAGGCGAGCGGAACUACAGGUGGAGCGGUGAAAUGCGUUGAUAUCUGUAGGAACACCGGUGGCGAAGGCGGCUCGCUGGGGCCUUUCUGACACUGAGGCACGAAAGCUAGGGUAGCGAACGGGAUUAGAUACCCCGGUAGUCCUAGCCUUAAACGAUGAACACUAGAUCGAAGUCCCCCUCACAGGAUUUCGGUCGUAGCGAAAGCGUUAAGUGUUCCGCCUGGGGAGUAUGGCCGCAAGGCUGAA
rnacentral:rRNA from 1 species